AACGAUGCAAGUCGAGCGAGGGACUUCGGUCCCUAGCGGCGGACGGUUGACAACACGUGGGGAACCUGCCUCAUAGAGGGGGAUAGCCUCCCGAAAGGGAGAUUAAUACCGCAUAACAUCAUGCUUUCGCAUGGAAGUAUGAUCAAAGGAGAAAUCCGCUAUGAGAUGGACCCGCGGCGCAUUAGCUAGUUGGUGAGGUAACGGCUCACCAAGGCGACGAUGCGUAGCCGACCUGAGAGGGUGAUCGGCCACAUUGGAACUGAGACACGGUCCAGACUCCUACGGGAGGCAGCAGUGGG
rnacentral:misc_RNA from 1 species